AUUGAACGCUGGCGGCGUGCCUAACACAUGCAAGUCGAGCGCGAAUGGAGCAAUCCUAGUAGAGCGGCGCACGGGUGCGUAACACGUGGGUAAUCUGCCUCAAAGCCCGGGAUAACCUGCCGAAAGGCAAGCUAAUACCGGAUAAGCCUACGGACUCUUCGGGGGUCUGAAGGAAAAGGUGGCCUCUGUAUACAAGCUAUCACUUUGAGAUGAGCCCCGCGGCCCAUCAGCUCGUUGGCGGGGUAACGGCCCACCAAGGCAACGGCGGGUAGCUGGUCUGAGAGGACGAUCAGCCACACUGGAACUGAGACACGGUCCAGACUCCUACGGGAGGCAGCAGUGGGGAAUUUUGCGCAAUGGGCGAAAGCCUGACGCAGCAACGCCGCGUGUGUGAUGAAGGUCUUCGGAUUGUAAAGCAC
rnacentral:rRNA from 1 species